rnacentral:rRNA from 1 species
CCUGCCCUCCACUUCGGGAUAAGCCUUGGAAACAGGGUCUAAUACCGGAUAUGAGCGCCUGCCGCAUGGUGGGUGUUGGAAAGUUUUUCGGUGGGGGAUGGGCUCGCGGCCUAUCAGCUUGUUGGUGGGGUAAUGGCCUACCAAGGCGUCGACGGGUAGCCGGCCUGAGAGGGCGACCGGCCACACUGGGACUGAGACACGGCCCAGACUCCUACGGGAGGCAGCAGUGGGGAAUAUUGCACAAUGGGCGAAAGCCUGAUGCAGCGACGCCACGUGAGGGAUGACGGCCUUCGGGUUGUAAACCUCUUUCAGCAGGGAAGAAGCGCAAGUGACGGUACCUGCAGAAGAAGCGCCGGCUAACUACGUGCCAGCAGCCGCGGUAAUACGUAGGGCGCAAGCGUUGUCCGGAAUUAUUGGGCGUAAAGAGCUCGUAGGCGGUCUGUCGCGUCUGGUGUGAAAUCCCAUGGCUCAACUGUGGGCUUGCAUCGGGUACGGGCAGACUAGAGUGCUGUAGGGGAGACUGGAAUUCCUGGUGUAGCGGUGGAAUGCGCAGAUAUCAGGAGGAACACCGAUGGCGAAGGCAGGUCUCUGGGCAGUUACUGACGCUGAGGAGCGAAAGCAUGGGGAGCGAACAGGAUUAGAUACCCUGGUAGUCCAUGCCGUAAACGUUGGGCACUAGGUGUGGGGCCAGUUCCACUGGUUCUGUGCCGCAGCUAACGCAUUAAGUGCCCCGCCUGGGGAGUACGGCCGCAAGGCUAAAACUCAAAGGAAUUGACGGGGGCCCGCACAAGCGGCGGAGCAUGCGGAUUAAUUCGAUGCAACGCGAAGAACCUUACCAAGGCUUGACAUGUACGAGAAAGCCCCAGAGAUGGGGUUCUCUUUGGACACUCGUACACAGGUGGUGCAUGGUUGUCGUCAGCUCGUGUCGUGAGAUGUUGGGUUAAGUCCCGCAACGAGCGCAACCCUUAUCCUAUGUUGCCAGCGGGUUAUGCCGGGGACUCAUGGGAGACUGCCGGGGUCAACUCGGAGGAAGGUGGGGAUGACGUCAAAUCAUCAUGCCCCUUAUGUCUUGGGCUUCACGCAUGCUACAAUGGCCGGUACAGAGGGCUGCGAUACCGUGAGGUGGAGCGAAUCCCAAAAAGCCGGUCUCAGUUCGGAUCGGGGUCUGCAA